CCAAUAGCGUAUAUUAAAGUUGUUGCAGUUAAAAAGCUCGUAGUUGAAUUUCGGGAUCAUCAGGUUGGUCGUGCCUCUGGUAUGUACUGAUUUCGAUGGUUCCUCCUUCUUGAAGAACCGUAAUGCCAUUAAUUUGGUGUUGCGGGGAAACAGGACUGUUACUUUGAAAAAAUUAGAGUGUUUAAAGCAGGCAAUCGCUUGAAUACAUUAGCAUGGAAUAAUGAAAUAGGACGUUCGAUCCUAUUUUGUUGGUUUCUAGGAUUGACGUAAUGAUUAAUAGUUAUAGUUGGGUGCAUUAGUAUUCAAUUGUCAGAGGUGAAAUUCUUGGAUUUAUUGAAGACUAACUACUGCGAAAGCAUUUGACAAGGAUGUUUUCAUUAAUCAAGAACGAAAGUUAGGGGAUCGAAGACGAUCAGAUACCGUCGUAGUCUUAACCAUAAACUAUGCCGACUAGGGAUCGGAUGAUGUUAAUUUUUUAAUGACUCAUUCGGCGCCUUACG
rnacentral:rRNA from 1 species